CUCGCACGAAUCUUUGAUCUUUGUCACGAAGAAUUUAGUUAUAUCUUCGUCCGACAAAACUGUGAAAUCAAACCGGUUUUGGAUCGAGUCUAGAAAACGUUCUUCAAACCCGCUUGAGAUUUCAGUGGCCGGUUUAGCUUCCUCUUCUUCGUCUUCGUCGGCAUCAACUCUUAAG
rnacentral:sRNA from 1 species